AGUGAACGCUGGCGGCGUGCUUGACACAUGCAAGUCGAACGAGAACGGGUUAUAGCUUGCUAUAAUUGUCAGCUAAGUGGCGCACGGGUGAGUAAUGUAUAGGUAAUAUGCCUCUUACUAAGGGAUAACAAAUGGAAACGUUUGCUAAUACCUUAUACUCCUUAUUAACAUAAGUUAACAAGGGAAAGAUUUAUUGGUAAGAGAUUAGCCUGUAUUGUAUCAGUUAGUUGGUGGGGUAAUGGCUUACCAAGACUAUGACACAUAACUGGCUUGAGAGGAUGAUCAGUCACACUGGGACUGAGACACGGUCCAGACUCCUACGGGAGGCAGCAGUGGGGAAUAUUGCACAAUGGACGAAAGUCUGAUGCAGCAACGCCGCGUGGAGGAUGACACAUUUCGGUGCGUAAACUCCUUUUAUAUGAGAAGAUAAUGACGGUAUUAUAUGAAUAAGCACCGGCUAACUCCGUGCCAGCCGCCGCGGUAA
rnacentral:rRNA from 1 species